rnacentral:rRNA from 1 species
ACAGCAGUAGCCACGGGAAUACGAAGGGUGCAAGCGUUACUCGGAAUUACUGGGCGUAAAGCGUGCGUAGGUGGUGGUUUAAGUCCGUUGUGAAAGCCCUGGGCUCAACCUGGGAAUUGCAGUGGAUACUGGGUCACUAGAGUGUGGUAGAGGAUAGUGGAAUUUCCGGUGUAGCAGUGAAAUGCGUAGAGAUCGGAAGGAACAUCUGUGGCGAAGGCGACUAUCUGGGCCAACACUGACACUGAUGCACGAAAGCGUGGGGAGCAAACAGGAUUAGAUACCCCCGUAGUCCCUGUCUCUUAUAC